rnacentral:lncRNA from 1 species
AUUAAUUAAGGUUCCCAUUCAUUCCUGCUGACACUUGCUCAUCAAUCAGAUUUCCUCUUAGCAUUCUGAUGACCUUGCUGACCUUGGUCCUCCAUGCUGUCUGCUAGACAGAAUUGAGACUCAGACCACACACACCAGAACUGAGGGAAUGGGCUCUGACUCUCGGCUUCCUGAGAUGGAGGAGAAAGGGUCUGGGGACAAAGCUGGCUGGUCCGGAGCUCUUCUGGCUGAGAACCCAGGGCCAGCCAUGGAGCUUGGAGCCCAGCCAGCUGAGCCCAGGAAACAAGGCUAGCAAUUUCUCUCUGCUAACUCAGCACUGCUGAAAGAAGUUAACAGCUCUAGUCUUCUCUCAGAAAAGUACAGGAAACUGUUCUGGAGAUGGGGGUGGCAUCUGGGACUAGUCAGCCUAAGGUGUGGGACUUUUAUUUCAUUACUUGUGCCUUUAUUCAUUCAUUAAAUAUACAUUUACCUGGCAGCCACUGUGUAUACUAG